rnacentral:rRNA from 1 species
CCUACGGGACGCAGCAGUGGGGAAUAUUGCACAAUGGGGGAAACCCUGAUGCAGCGACGCCGCGUGAGUGAAGAAGUAUCUCGGGAUGUAAAGCUCUAUCAGCAGGAAAGAUAAUGACGGUACCUGACUAAGAAGCCCCGGCUAACUACGUGCCAGCAGCCGCGGUAAUACGUAGGGGGCAAGCGUUAUCCGGAUUUACUGGGUGUAAAGGGAGCGUAGACGGCAGCGCAAGUCUGGAGUGAAAUGCCGGGGCCCAACCCCGGAACUGCAUUUGGAACUGUGUAGCUGGAGUGUCGGAGAGGCAG